rnacentral:RNase_P_RNA from 1 species
GAAGCCCACCAGACUGUCGCUGGUGCAAGGUGGAAACACCGCACUGGAGGAACGUCCGGACUGCACAGGGCAGCGUAGCAGCUAACGGCUGUCCACUGAAAAGCCGCAAGGCCAUAAGGUGAGGAUCAGAGCAACAGAGACGAGUCGCUGGGCGGGUAACCGUUCAGCGGGUGAAACGGGCAAUCUCUACGCGCAGCAAUACCAAGUAGGCCAGCGUUGAUGGGGCCCCCAGAGCUGGCGGGUAGGUAGCACCGAGCUGUCGGGUGACUGACAGCCCAGAUUAAUGACAGUCACGCCAGGGGCAACCCUGGCGCACAGAAUCCGGCUUAUCGGUGGGCUUCACAC